AGACCCGAAACCCGGUGAUCUAGCCAUGGGCAGGUUGAAGGUUGGGUAACACUAACUGGAGGACCGAACCGACUAAUGUUGAAAAAUUAGCGGAUGACCUGUGGCUGGGGGUGAAAGGCCAAUCAAACCGGGAGAUAGCUGGUUCUCCCCGAAAGCUAUUUAGGUAGCGCCUCGUGAAUUCAUCUCCGGGGGUAGAGCACUGUUUCGGCUAGGGGGCCAUCCCGGCUUACCAACCCGAUGCAAACUGCGAAUACCGGAGAAUGUUAUCACGGGAGACACACGGCGGGUGCUAACGUCCGUCGUGAAGAGGGAAACAACCCAGACCGCCAGCUAAGGUCCCAAAGUCAUGGUUAAGUGGGAAACGAUGUGGGAAGGCCCAGACAGCCAGGAUGUUGGCUUAGAAGCAGCCAUCAUUUAAAGAAAGCGUAAUAGCUCACUGGUCGAGUCGGCCUGCGCGGAAGAUGUAACGGGGCUAAACCAUGCACCGAAGCUGCGGCAGCGAACGUAUCACCCAAGACAACUUUGCGGAGUUGACGAUUGACGGAGCGAAGCGACGUCAAAGCGUUCAUUAAAGUCGAGUUGG
rnacentral:rRNA from 1 species